GACGAACGCUGGCGGCGAGCUUAACACAUGCAAGUCGAACGGUAAGGCCCUUCGGGGUACACGAGUGGCGAACGGGUGAGUAACACGUGGGUGAUCUGCCCUGCACUUCGGGAUAAGCCUGGGAAACUGGGUCUAAUACCGGAUAGGACUCCGGACUGCAUGGUCUGGGGUGGAAAGCUUUUGCGGUGUGGGAUGGGGCCGCGGCCUAUCAGCUUGUUGGUGGGGUGAUGGCCUACCAAGGCGACGACGGGUAGCCGGCCUGAGAGGGUGACCGGCCACACUGGGACUGAGAUACGGCCCAGACUCCUACGGGAGGCAGCAGUGGGGAAUAUUGCACAAUGGGCGCAAGCCUGAUGCAGCGACGCCGCGUGGGGGAUGACGGCCUUCGGGUUGUAAACCUCUUUCAGCAUCGACGAAGCGAAAGUGACGGUAGGUGCAGAAGAAGGACCGGCCAACUACGUGCCAGCCGCCGCCGUAA
rnacentral:rRNA from 1 species